UAGGGAAUCUUCCACAAUGGACGCAAGUCUGAUGGAGCAACGCCGCGUGAGUGAAGAGGGUCUUCGGAUCGUAAAGCUCUGUUGUUGGUGAAGAAGGAUAGAGGCAGUAACUGGUCUUUAUUUGACGGUAAUCAACCAGAAAGUCACGGCUAACUACGUGCCAGCAGCCGCGGUAAUACGUAGGUGGCAAGCGUUGUCCGGAUUUAUUGGGCGUAAAGCGAGCGCAGGCGGAAUGAUAAGUCUGAUGUGAAAGCCCACGGCUCAACCGUGGAACUGCAUCGGAAACUGUCAUUCUUGAGUGCAGAAGAGGAGAGUGGAACUCCAUGUGUAGCGGUGGAAUGCGUAGAUAUAUGGAAGAACACCAGUGGCGAAGGCGGCUCUCUGGUCUGCAACUGACGCUGAGGCUCGAAAGCAUGGGUAGCGAACAGGAUUAGAUACCCUGGUAGUCCAUGCCGUAAACGAUGAGCGCUAGGUGUUGGGGACUUUCCGGUCCUCAGUGCCGCAGCAAAC
rnacentral:rRNA from 1 species